UACGGAGGAUCCAAGCGUUAUCCGGAUUUAUUGGGUUUAAAGGGUGCGUAGGCGGAAUAGUAAGUCAGUGGUGAAAGCCUGCAGCUCAACUGCAGAAUUGCCAUUGAUACUGCUAAUCUCGAGUGUAGAUGAAGUGGGCGGAAUGUGUCAUGUAGCGGUGAAAUGCUUAGAUAUGACACAGAACACCGAUUGCGAAGGCAGCUCACUAAACUAAUACUGACGCUGAGGCACGAAAGCAUGGGGAGCAAACAGG
rnacentral:rRNA from 1 species